CAGGAAAAGGCAGAGCAGGAGUCAACCUUAGGCAGUCUAGCCCCGGAGCUUUGGGGCGACACUGUCUUGGUCUUGAUGCACUGCCUGUAAGAGCUCCCUGUCUUCUGCCCCAUUUCACAGUUCUGUGAAAGGAGACUGCCUGCCUGCCUCAUCAAGUGGUGUCACAGGAUUGUGGUGGAUACGCAAACAUAAGAGAGAUACUGACAGUCUCACUGUGGUGAUAAUACUAACGUAUGUACAAAAUCAGCAAAUAAGCAAUAUCUUCCUAUGUGUUAAUUGUAUGGUUUACUAUAGAAUUUUUGAGUGAGAGAGAAGUAAUGUAUAGAUAAAAACUGAAAUAAUUAUGAAUGAUUGCACAAAGGAAAU
rnacentral:lncRNA from 12 species